AAGGGUGGAGGUGCCGCGGACGUGAGGCCCUUGAAGUACGAGUAGUUAGUGGACGAUGAAGCCGCCGCUCUCCCUCGUCCGCCAUGUUAUUGAGAGGGGUAUCAGGCGCGGCGUCACUGGGGUCUUGGGACCUGGGUCAGUGGGGUCAGUGUCUUGGGCACAAAGAACAACGCAAAAUAUCUGGGUAAUAGGAUCAGUCUUACGUACAAAACGAACAACACCAGACGCACUGUUCUGGGUCAGUAGCGUCAGUAUUCUUUAUUUUAAAUUACAUCUUUUUUUCUGCACUUAAUUUUUUGGUUCAUCCUUUUUCGUUCACUAUAAUGACUUUUUAGAUGAUUUCAAAUAUUUUUACUUUUGUUCUUAAGAUUAAUAUUUUAACCUGUACUUAUUGUUUUUAAAAUAUUGUAGCGGCCCCAUAUAACCGCGAUAUUGCGGCGCCAUAAAACUACAUCAAUUAACCGAUCAUGCCCCUUCACAUAUGAAAUGCCUAAAAAUCUGCAAUGCUAACUAUUAACAUAAUAAAAAAUCCUGUUUUAUAUUAUACGUAUAUUAGCUAUGAAUAAUUGUUCAGUGCCGACUCGUAGCACACAUCGGCGAUCCGCUACAUUGCCUAUGAUUUUGUUCACGAUUACUUACAAUCAUUGUUUAUGAUUUUGUUCACGAUUACUUACAAUCAUUGUUUAUGAUUUUGUUCACGAUUAGUCACGAUCAUGAAUUUCUGAUAUAUUGUAGUAACUUUAUUUUCGUCAUUAACAGCGAGGUUGAUGUUUAACAUCAACCUCAAUGGUUCUUGCUGCAGGAUAUAGAUUAGAUACACUAUACAUAGAUAUAGAUUUUGUGCAUCUAAAAUGAACUAAAAGAUAACAAUAACGAUAAAUUCUGUAGAACUUUGUAAUACAGCUAUUCAACCGUAACAGAUGAAAAACCGGGAGUCUGGAACGUGGUGGGUGGUGAAACAGGUGAUCGCGACGCUGCUUGACGAGGCCAUCUCUGAAGGACUGCCACGAUGGAGCUCGACAAGAAUAGUGUUGACGACAUGGCUGAUUUCCUCCUUCAUCCUUGGAACGGUUUAUCGUAGCAAUCUCACCGCCUGCCUCACAGUGCCCAAGUACCCGCCACGCGCAGAGACUUUCGCCGAUCUCGUGGAUGCGGGGACCGAAAUCACAGUAGUGGAGACCAUCAACGUUUUCAAAAGCAGCUUCGAACAAUCAGACUCUGAAAUCUUGAAAACCGCCAUUACGAGAAUGGUCUAUGUGCCCUCGUACAUGGAGGGACUGACGAGCGCCCUCACGUCUAAGAGUGCACAUCUGUAUGAGCGGCUCUUCUUGGAAGUAAAGAUCGCCGAGUAUUACACGAACACGGAUGGCUCAUCACCUCUGUACGUAACGCAGAACAGCCUCCUUGCUGAUUAUUCAGCGUUUCUCAUGAUUCGUGAUGCUCCUUUUAAACCUAACAUCGACCGCUGCAUCAUGGCUUUUCACGGGGGUGGACUGAUGCAGAAAUGGACUAAAGACGUAAUGGAUGAGAUACGCCGUGACAGUCGCCAACGGAUGAAACAUACGGAAAGUGAAGAAAUAAACACCAACAAUAACAAGAUCAAGCCGCUCACUUUGGUACACAUGCAAGGACCUCUUCUGCUGUACCUUAUAACCAUAACCGCCUCUCUUGCGGUCUUCUUCAGUGAAAUAUUCAUAGGGACAUUAUUUCGUCACCCCAUGUAAAGUUUGGGUUGGCUCUUUGCCUCACAUUGCUGUUUCAACAAUGUUCCUUUCGCUGUAACACACUCCCCCACGUCUUUCAAUAACAGACUGCACCGCUACGUUAGUUCAAUGAAUAGCAUCAAUAUAACCGACUUUCAUUUCAACAAGAAUUAUUGAUAAUUUUGUUGAGAGAGAGAGAGAGAGAGAGAGAGAGAGAGAGAGAGAGAGAGAAUUUCGUGGAUUUAUGAGUUUUUUGCUUUUGUUUCGUCUUUCAUUUAUUUCCACAGCCUACCUAACAAGUAUAACUAAAAUCAUUCGCAUUGUACACAAAAGGAAAGUUUUUUUUUUAUAUAUGUAGAAAGGACACUGGCCAAGAGCAACAAAAAUCCAAUAAAAAAAAAUGCCCACUGAAAUGCCAGUCCCAUAAAAGGGUCAAAGCAGUGGUCAAAAAUUGAUGAACAAGUGUCUUGAAACCUCCCUCUUGAAGGAAUUCAAGUCAUAGGAAGGUGGAAAUACAGAAGCAGGCAGGGAGUUUCAGAGAGAGUGUGUGUGUGUGUGUGUGUGUGUGUGUGUGUGUGUGUGUGUGCAGUUGUGAUGAUUGUAGGAAGUGAACAAGGCGACUGAGGAGUGAUUGAAUGUAUGGGUGUGAUUCUAUUGUGUGGCUCGCCGCGGAGACAUAUUGGCUUACGAUGCCAAGUAUGAAAAAAAAAAACAAAGCACAUGUAAUCAUGCAACGUUGUGACCGGUAUGGCAUCACCCUUAAUCCAGGUCGCGAGGAAAUUUGUGGACUUCUCUGGAAACAUCAUCACUCCUCGGGGUUAUACAGCAGACUCUCUUAGAUGGCAAUGGGAAAUAUCACGAAUGGUCGAGUUUUCAGUGUUCGCCGGUUGGUUUAAUUCAAAAGAUGGUCAACAUUGUCUUACGCUAGAGAGUAGUCGUCUCAGAACACGAUAUUAUGAUUUAUGUAUUUAUAACACACAUCAACACACAUUUCACGUCGACGACUUAUUCCUCGUAGCCUCCGACGGGAAACAGUCACGCCUCCAUAAUGUCACCAGGGAAUGGAGUGCACAAAGUCAAGCAAGACAUUGAACAUUCAAAUUAGAUUUAAAAGGCAAGAGUAGUAGGUGUAAAUUACAUUGUCUGUGUCUCUGAUUUGCUUAGCCUUAGAUGUUAGUGACUUAGGCAUUCUAUACAUAGGAUUAUUAGUUUGGUAACGUUUUGAAUAGAUACAUUGGGUAAAAAAAAAAGUGCACAUAUCCUUGGCGUCCCAUUGAAAUGCCUUUAUCGACCCAACUUUGGGUCGCGACACAGGAGUUAAGAACCACUGCGUACUAAGGUGGCUACUGACAAAUAGUAAAAAAAAAAAAAAAAAAGGGAGCUGAUAAACGUUAUACACACGCAACAAUGCAAGCUACUAAAUCAAAUCCGGGAAAUAUCAAAGUUCACUGUGUGUCGAUGUGUACAGCUUGUGGCAGAUGGUAUACGGUGUUUCAU